rnacentral:lncRNA from 1 species
UCCGUUUGUAUUGUAAUAAGUGCACUUUAGAGAAUUUAUAGACGGUAAAUUGGUUUUGUUGCUGAUCAAUGUUCAUACAACGUCGACAUAAGUCAGUGCUUAUUUGGUGCACUUCGGGUCCUGACGAUUUUUAGUAUAUGUGUUCUUGAUAUGAAUGUGUUUCAUGAUUACUGUCAUUAACGUGUACUCGUAAUGUUUUGUGUUGUUAAACAUGACAAACGUAUCAAUUAACAAUACUAUUAUAUUAUAUACAUCUGUUGGCCUAUAUAUUUCUUAACUGCUAUCAAGCAGAGUACAUGUAGUACCGGUAGUUCCCUUUGUCAAUCAAACGACCUCAUAUGCACAUACAUCAAUUUUCAUGAUUUUAAGAUUCAUUGCAUAAAUGUAUAUUGCCAUCGAUCGUAAACAAUUUUGUGUGGGAAUUUGCACAGUUGGUGAUGCGUGUGUAGCAGUGCACUCUCAAUCCUUCAACAGUCCCGGUCUCCCUUCUUUUUGACUUCAUAUGAUUAUUUCAGUUCUAAACAUUCUCCUUGAUAUAAAACUUCUUUAUGUCUUUAUGAGAAUAAAUGUAAUCUAAUGUUGCCGCAAAUUCAAAUGAUGAUUCGUGUUUCUUCAUACAAAGUAUGCUUAAAAAGGCUUUCAACGAUUCACAUGCGUUGAAAGAGUAUCUAUAUCAUUAUAUAUUUCUGGAACAACCGAAAAUCUCAAUGACAUUCUAAAAGACGUUGUGAUCCAUUUUAAACAUUGUCAAGAUUUAGAGGCCUAGACAUAAUAAGUAUCACGAAUCAC